rnacentral:rRNA from 1 species
AGCGAACGCUGGCGGCAGGCCUAACACAUGCAGGUCGAACGAACUCUUCGGAGUUAGUGGCGGACGGGUGAGUAACACGUGGGAACGUGCCUUUUGGUUCGGAAUAACUCAGGGAAACUUGUGCUAAUACCGAAUGUGCCCUUCGGGGGAAAGAUUUAUCGCCAUUAGAGCGGCCCGCGUCUGAUUAGCUAGUUGGUGAGGUAACGGCUCACCAAGGCGACGAUCAGUAGCUGGUCUGAGAGGAUGACCAGCCACACUGGGACUGAGACACGGCCCAGACUCCUACGGGAGGCAGCAGUGGGGAAUCUUGCGCAAUGGGCGAAAGACUGACGCAGCCAUGCCGCGUGAAUGAUGAAGGUCUUAGGAUUGUAAAAUUCUUUCACCGGGGACGAUAAUGACGGUACCCGGAGAAGAAGCCCCGGCUAACUUCGUG